rnacentral:rRNA from 1 species
UACGGGGGGGGCAAGCGUUGUUCGGAAUUACUGGGCGUAAAGGGCUCGUAGGCGGCCAACUAAGUCAGACGUGAAAUCCCUCGGCUUAACCGGGGAACUGCGUCUGAUACUGGAUGGCUUGAGUUUGGGAGAGGGAUGCGGAAUUCCAGGUGUAGCGGUGAAAUGCGUAGAUAUCUGGAGGAAGACCAGUGGCGAAGGCGGGUCUCUGGACAGUUCCUGACGCUGAGGCACGAAGGUCAGGGGAGCAAACGGG